GUCUACAUCCAUAUCAUCCUGAAUGUACCAGAUCUCAUCUGAUCUUGCAAGCUAAGCAGGGUUGGACCUGGUUAGCACUUGGGUGGGAGAAAACA
rnacentral:rRNA from 1 species